UCAAAAAAUAAAAUAAGUCAAAUAGAAGAAAUGUAUAGAACAAAAAAAGGGGUGGGGAAAGAUGAAGCACAUAGACAAUCCUGGUAAACAGCUGUGAUUAAUAAAAUUAUCCAUCUUUUGUGUUCUCCAGGAACAGUUUACAGAAAAAAACACCCUGUCCAUUUGACUUAGAUGGUAACAUCGCAGUUCAGACCAGCCACAUACCAGGCACUCAGUAGCCACACUUGGUCAAUAGCUGCUACAUUAAAGUGUAGCUUCGACGACAGGGGAUGAAGAUCCUGAAAAAAUCUUUUCCGCCAGAGGUGAAGGAAGAGCCUCUCCCUACCAACAUCUCUCUUCAGUUCCGAGGGUGGAACAGAUACUGUCCAUGUAAAAAGCAGAGGGCAGCAGGAAUAAAAUAAUCACAGGUACAUCAUUGCUGGCCCACCUGUUGGUGUACCUGUGAUUAUUUUAUUCCUAAGUUAUAAACUAAAGAUCUCUACAUUGUAAGCUAAAGACUGUUGAAGUAAGAAACUAAAUAAUACACAAAUACUUGCAAAGAUAUUUAUUUGUAAAUUGGCAUAAUUAAUAUUGUUAAAUGUCUGUAUUACACAAAAUGAUCUGCAGAUAUAAUACAACCUUUAUCAAAAACCAAUGACUUUCUUCACAGAAACAUUUAAAAACAAUUCCAAAAUUUAUACGGUACUAGAAAAGACUCUCACUAUGCAAUAAAAAAAAAUAAAAAAAAAAACAAACCCA